rnacentral:rRNA from 1 species
UACGUAGGGUGCAAGCGUUAAUCGGAAUUACUGGGCGUAAAGCGUGCGCAGGCGGUUUUGUAAGUCUGUCGUGAAAUCCCCGGGCUCAACCUGGGAAUUGCGAUGGAGACUGCAAGGCUAGAAUCUGGCAGAGGGGGGUAGAAUUCCAGGUGUAGCGGUGAAAUGCGUAGAUAUCGUGAAGAACACCAGUGGCGAAGGCGACUUA